UUAGUGAGAUUAUGACUGGUGGGUGACCUUAGGUUAUUGUAUACAGAUGAUUGAUGAGAGAAGCACUAGAGCGAAUAUUACCAUGAGUCGUUCAAACUACAUUAGGUGGUUCCGACUUAUGUGCAGAAGGCCGGACAGGUCACGCGGAGUGACUCCGGCAGAGAGUGAGAUUGAUAGAUGUUGAGCUCUAGGUUCAAUCGUUCAGGGCUAUUAGAGGGCCUCCGAUUGAUUUCUAUCUUUUACCUGAUUAUAUUAUGUUAAUGCAUUCAUACUAAACUGUUGAGAUUGGCAUGGUACAUUCUUUAUUGAAUCUGUUAUAAGAUUGAUGAUUGAGACAGUUGAGAUAUAUAUGCUAUAUACUAUUUUUCUGGGAAAGUAUACAGGUUUUCCAAAAAGGGGUUAUAAUUGUGGAUUUGUGAAAUGAUUUGGAAAAGCUUUAUUUUCGCCCACUCACGUUUUCUGUUUUUCGCCCCUCCAGGUUCUAGUUAAUAGUUGAGGCGUUGGUGGCCUACGAGACUGCUUCGGCGUUCUGACAGACUAAAUAAAUGUAGGAUUCACCCGAGGGUGUUGUAAAAUAGUUAUGUUCCUACUUGACUGCACCUAGAUGCUUAUGCUCUGUUUAUGUGUGUUUAGUACACUCUUAUGCACAUAGAAUGCUAGGUUGUAAAUAACUGCAAUUAGUGGUUUUCGUUAAUUCGUAUUUUAUUAUUAAAUCGUUUCCGCUUGCGUUAUGGUUACGUCACACUCACGUGACGGCCAGCACGUCCUAGUCUUCGGGUUAGGGUGUGUCAGUUUGGUAUCAGAGCAUAGGUUGCAGUCCUGUAUAACUAAUGAGUUCUUCUAUUGAUUUUUGGAUGUUUUCUGUCAGAAUUAUGCCGCCUCGUAGAGAUCCUCGCCGUGCUGCUGAGCCUAAUUUCCCCGAUAUAACUCAGUUAGGGGCAGCAAUGGCUCAAGCUUUUCAGGCUAAUAUCCGUCCUCCUCAGAGAACGCCCGUAGAGACGAUGUAUAAUCUGAAACUGGAAACCUUUGAGGGAAAUGAAGGUUAUGAAGGGGCAGAAAAGUGGUUGGAUCGAAUUGAGCAGACCUUUCAAGUGAUGCAAAGUCAGGGAAACCUGCCAGCUAAUAGAUGGGUGGAGACCACCACCUGGUUUUUGGGCCGUGAGCCAGCUGCGUGGUGGAUAAAUCAGUCGAGGCACAUGACUCCUGAAAGGGCAGCCGAAUGGGAGGUAUUUAAGGAAAAUUUUAUGAAGAGAUUUGUUCCUCCGGAAUAUAUAGAUCGCAAGAAACAGGAAUUCACCAGUCUGAAGCAGAGAAAUAUGUCUGCACAUGAGUACUACAGGAAGUUUACUGAUUUAUCCCGUUAUGAUUCUGAUUUAGCGGGUAAUCAAGCAGAAAUGCUUCGUCGUUUCAAGCUAGGAUCUAAGAAGAAGUACAGAACGUUUGCCAAUGCACUUCCCUGUGCCGAUUAUCAUGAGUAUUUUGAGAUUCUGGUCAGGAUGGAAGACUCUGAUAAUCUUCCGGACAGUGAGGAUGAAGAGGAUAAGGGUAAUGGUCAGAAGAAAAAUGAGAAAGGUAAAGGUGUUUCCAUUCCAGGACCUCGUCAGACGCAGAAUUUCAAGAAAAGUGGAAUGAGUUCGAGUUCUUCCAGUGGUGGAUUUAGUGCCACAGGUCCGAGGAGAGGAGGUGGUAGGUUUGGUAAUGGACCUAGAUUUUCUGGUCAGAGAGGCUUUGGUAAUACUGGUAGUUCGGGUCCUCCGUUAUGUCGCCGUUGUAAUUUCCGACAUCAUGGGGAAUGUAGGAGAAGCAGUGGUGCAUGCUUUACAUGUGGUCAGACAGGACAUAGAGCUAUGUAUUGUCCCCAGAAUCAGCAGAGGCCCCAGCAGCCUGUUAUGCCAACAUCAGCACCGACUCAACAGAACUUUAAUUCAGGCAGUUAUGGCCAGGGUGGUCGUGGUGGUGCUUAUCACUAUCAGGGUGAUGCUGCUCCUUAUGCUCCGGGACAGUAUCACUAUUCCCAGGAUCCUUAUUUUCAGAGUGGAUAUUCUCAGGAUCAGGGAGGUUAUACUUCAUAUCCGUCUAUGCCAGCUAGCGGAUCUCAGUGGUAUCAGGGGGGUCAGCCCCAACAGAGCGGAGUUGCUGCUAGUAGUACAGGGUCGUUUAGGCCGCCUGCCCAGGCAGGUCAAGGACGUACUCAUCAGGGACGAGGUAACCAGAGUGGCAGAGGUCGUGGAGGACGACAGCCAGCUCAGGGACGCGUUAACCACAUAUCGCUGCAAGAUGCUCAGAACCAUCCAGACUUGAUUAUGGGUACGUUGAAUGUUCUUGGUCAUUUUGCUAGAGUCUUGAUUGAUUGUGGUGCUACACACUCUGUGAUUUCUCAUACAUUUGCUCAAAUAACGCAACCUCAUCCUUCACCUCUAGGGUUUGAUUUAGAGUUUGCUAUGCCUAGAGGGGAUAAAUGUUAUGUUGAUAGUUUUUACUCUGGGUGUCCAGUGAUGGUAGAUAAUGUCAUUAUGCCUGCUAAUCUUAUCCCGUUAGACAUCGUGGAUUUUGAGGUGAUUUUAGGGGCGGAUUGGUUGCAUUAUAAUCGCGCCCAUAUAGAUUGUUACGGGAAAUCAGUUACUUUUCUUCGUCCUGGACUACCCGAGGUUACAUUUGUGGGUGAAAGAAGUGGGGUGAGGCAUGGUGUUAUUUCCGCCAUAAGGACAAAGAAAUUGUUAUCCAAGGGUUGUCAGGGAUACUUGGCACAUGUGGUUUUGAAUGAUGUUGAUUCCGGUAGUGUGGAGGAAGUCGGAGUAGUCAGACACUAUCCUGAUGUAUUUCCAGAUGAUUUACCUGGGUUGCCUCCAGAUAGAGAUGUGGAAUUUUCGAUUGAAUUGCUUCCAGGUACGAAUCCUAUCUCUUUGACUCCUUAUAGAAUGGCACCAGCGGAAUUAAGAGAGUUGAAAAUUCAAUUGCAAGAGUUAAUUGAUAAAGGUUUCAUUCAGCCUAGUUCUUCACCUUGGGGAGCUCCAGUGUUGUUUGUAAGAAAGAAAGAUGGAACUUUGAGAUUGUGCAUUGAUUACAGGCAAUUGAAUCGGGUGACGAUUAAAAACCGUUAUCCCUUGCCUCGUAUAGAUGAUUUGUUUGAUCAGCUCAAAGGUGCCUGUGUGUUUUCUAAGAUCGAUUUGAGGUCUGGGUAUUAUCAAUUAAAGAUUAAAGAUGAGGAUGUUCAUAAAACAGCUUUCAGGACUCGUUAUGGGCAUUAUGAGUUUUUUGGUGAUGCCAUUUGGAUUAACGAACGCUCCUGCAGCUUUCAUGAGAUUGAUGAAUGAAGUAUUCCAGGAAUAUCUUGACAAGUUUGUUAUUGUUUUUAUUGAUGACAUCCUGGUAUAUUCUAAGUCGAAAUCAGACCAUAUUCGACAUCUUAACUUGGUGUUAAGGAAAUUGAGGGAACACCGGUUAUAUGCCAAAUUUAGUAAAUGUCAAUUUUGGCUGGAUCAAGUGGCAUUUUUGGGACAUGUGGUAUCAGCUCAGGGAAUUCAAGUGGAUCCUCAAAAGAUAGCAGCAGUGGAAAAUUGGGAACAACCUCGAACGGUCACUGAGGUGCGGAGUUUCCUUGGUUUGGCAGGUUAUUAUAGACGGUUUGUUCAAGACUUUUCUAUGAUUGCCUUGCCAUUAACGAAGUUAACCAGGAAGGAUGUUAAGUUUGAGUGGGAUGAAAGUUGUGAGCAAAGUUUCCAGCAGUUGAAGUAUUGCCUUACUCAUGCACCUGUGUUAGUACUUCCUGAUGGUAAUGGUAACUUCGAGAUCUAUAGUGAUGCUUCUUUGAAUGGUUUGGGUUGUGUUUUGAUGCAGCAUAGUAGAGUGAUUGCCUAUGCUUCUAGGCAGUUGAAGACUCAUGAAAGAAACUAUCCGACUCACGAUCUUGAGUUGGCAGCUAUUGUGUUUGCUUUGAAGAUUUGGAGACACUAUCUCUAUGGCGAGAAAUGUAAGAUCUUUACCGAUCAUAAAAGCCUUCAGUACCUUUUCACUCAGCAUGAUCUUAAUCUUCGUCAGAGAAGAUGGUUGGAAUUGUUAAGUGAUUAUGAUUGCACGAUUGAGUACCAUCCGGGUCGUGCAAAUGUGGUAGCUGAUGCUCUGAGUAGAAAACCUCAAGGGCGACUUAAUGCUUUGUAUGCCAGUCGUGUUCCUCUUCUGGCAGAGUUGAGAUCUACUGGAGUAGAGUUAGAAUUGGAAGAGCAAAGUGAAGCUUUUCUUGCCAGUUUUCAAGUCAAGCCAGUUUUAAUUGAUCGGGUGCUUGCAGCUCAAUCGUGGGAUGAAGAAAUUCAAGAAUUGAUCAAGUUAAGAAAUGAAGGGAAGAAGAAAGAUCUCAAGAUCCGAGGAUCAGAUGGUAUGCUUAUGCAAGAGAACAGGAUGUAUGUGCCUAAUAAUGAGGAACUGAAGAAGGAAAUCUUGGAUGAAGCACAUUGUUCGGCUUAUGCUAUGCACCCAGGAGGAACUAAAAUGUAUCAUACCAUUCGACCAUUCUACUAUUGGCCGGGUAUGAAGAGGGAGAUUGCAGAGUAUGUGAGUAGGUGUAUUGUCUGCCAGCAGGUUAAGGCUGAAAGAAAGAAGCCGUUUGGGAGAUUGCAACCACUUCCCGUUCCCCAGUGGAAAUGGGAGAAUAUAACGAUGGAUUUUGUGUAUAAGCUGCCACGUACACAAAAUGGUUUUGAUGGCAUUUGGGUGGUUGUAGAUCGACUUACCAAAUCAGCACAUUUUAUUCCAGUAAGGGAGAAGUAUUCUUUAAAUAAGUUGGCUCAGUUAUUCAUAUCGAAGGUUGUAAAGUAUCAUGGUGUCCCAGUGAAUAUUAUUUCUGAUCGAGAUCCAAGAUUUACUUCUAAGUUUUGGAUAGCUUUUCAAGAAGCUUUGGGUACUAGAUUGCUUUACAGUACAGCUUAUCAUCCACAGACAGAUGGUCAGUCAGAGAGAACUAUUCAGACACUCGAGGAUAUGUUGAGAUCCUCUGUGAUGCAAUUUGGUGAUUCUUGGCAUGAUCGCUUGGAUUUGAUGGAGUUUGCCUACAAUAAUAGUUUUCAUUCGAGUAUUGGAAUGUCUCCAUUUGAAGCACUUUAUGGUAAAGCUUGCCGUACGCCAUUAUGUUGGUCAGAGGUUGGUGAAAGAAUACUUGAGGGCCCAGAGAUUGUGGAUGAGACUACUCAGAAUAUUCAGGUAAUUAAAUCUAACCUGAAAGUGGCCCAGGAUAGACAAAAGAGCCUAGCGGAUCGACAUACCACGGACAGAAUGUAUAAAGUGGGUGACUAUGUUUUCUGAAAUUAUCGCCUUGGAGAGGUGUGGUUCGCUUUGGAAAGAAAGGAAAGCUAAGUCCCAGGUACAUUGGACCUUAUGAGAUCACUGAGAGGAUUGGUGAAGUUGCUUACAGGUUGGAGCUACCUCCAGAGUUGUCUAAGGUACAUAAUGUGUUCCAUGUCUCGAUGCUUCGGCAUUAUGUGUCAGAUCCUUCACAUGUGAUUCCUCCUCAACCAUUGGAAAUUAAUCCGGAUUUGACGUACGAUGAGGAACCAGUGACUAUACUGGAUUGGAAAGAUAAGACCUUGAGGAAUAAGACCGUGAGCUUGGUGAAAGUAUUGUGGAGAAACCAUUCAGCUGAAGAAGCUACUUGGGAGACAGAAGAUCGGAUGAGAGAUAUGUAUCCGAGGUUAUUCUAUGACUUUUGAUGUUCUGGUUAGUGAUUGGAAUUUCGGGGACGAAAUUCUAUAAGGAGGGGAGAUUGUCACAGCCCGUCCCAGAAUUUCAAUUACCGAGGACGUGAAAUUACUAAAACGCCCUUAAACGGGAUUAAGGUGCGUAAAUUUGGUAUUUGUUUUACACUAAGAUCUUAAACUAGGGUUUAGAUUUACAUUUGUUUGGUCUAAUAAUUUUGUAUUGGACUUAGGUGGGAUCCCCACCUCCUGAAAUCCUUCCCCAAAACCCGUAGGUUGUCUCUCCCUCUUUCUUCCUCGUCUCUCCCUCAGUCUCUCUCACACUCCCUCAGAAACACUCUCUCUCUCUUACUCUCGAACUCUCUCAAGCUCUCGGACAAACACCAAGAACAAUCACAAUCCUACACCAACGUCCGAUCUAAGAUCACCACGACACUCCUUAGGACCUCACGAGCACGGGAAUACCAGUUUUAGGUAAGUUCUAUUUCGAGAACCCUAGUUUUAAAACACCCCGUGUAAUGGCACUGUUCACGAACUUAAUUUUGGUUGUGUUUUAGGUUAAACAAAGAUCACCACGAGUCUUAGGAAGUUCCAAGGAGGCUCGGAGUGCCUCGUUUGAUCAAAAUGGACGUCGGGAUCGUCGGGUUCGAGUUUGGCCGAAAUUGAAGAAUUUUGAAAGGUUUGAUCUUGUUGUUUUUAGGCCUUAAAACCCUUCCAACGUGAUAGUACAUGUUAAAUGCUUCAUUUUGGUAUAAAAUGCGAAGAAAUUGGUUGAAAAACGAAGGAGAAUAGUGGAUUUGAAAAUUUUCCAGAAACCGGCGAACAGUCGCCGGCGACCGGUGACUCGCCGGAGAAGACAGGGAAUCUUCCGUCAAGUUUGACGGAUAUUCCGACGCCGUUAGUUAACUUUAACGGAAACCGUUAGUUUUUAACGGAAUAUACUAGGAUUUGACGGAAUAUUCUCUAACGCCGUUCACUGUAGCCGUCAGUGUGCAUGUCACGUGGCCGCGCGUGGGCCGCGCGUAGGUCCGUGCCACGUCAGGCGCGUGGGGGCGCGUGAGGACUCCAAAAAUUAUUUUAAAAUUAUGGGGAUGAUCCUGAGGUUGUGUAGGUCACUGUGGUAUAUUCAUAUACCCAAUUUGAGCAUCGUAUGAAGAAUUAAUUACCUAGUUUGGUUUAGGUGCGUUAAUUGUGCGUUAAAUGAUUGUUUUAAGUUAUUUCACUUCUAGGUGGAACAUUUAACGAGGACGAGCACAUCCAGGGGCGUCAAGGGGGUUACGACCCGGCGACAUACCAGUGAGUGGGCAUUGCUUUCUAUAUAUAUACCUAUAUACUCGAUUUCCCCAGAAAUCAAAUUUAAAUGAAAAGUAUAUUGAAAUGAAAUGAAAUAUGAUGUGAUUGCCAUGCAUAGAAUAUUAUGGAUAUUAUGAACUGUCGUAUGAUGCAUAUAUGUAUGAUGGUGCUGUGGAAGCACAGGUAAGUAUUUAAUUAAUAUUAUGAUGAUGAUGAUGAUAUAUUGAGCUCAUAUCCUGCACCAUGGUUUAGUGCUUAUAGUAUUCACCGCAUCGCACGCUCGCCUUGGAUCCAAGUAGAUGCUGGUCGUACAGUCCACGCGGAGUGGGUACGACGGGCCAGUCGUAGAGUGUUAGUGAGAUUAUGACUGGUGGGUGACCUUAGGUUAUUGUAUACAGAUGAUUGAUGAGAGAAGCACUAGAGCGAAUAUUACCAUGAGUCGUUCAAACUACAUUAGGUGGUUCCGACUUAUGUGCAGAAGGCCGGACAGGUCACGCGGAGUGACUCCGGCAGAGAGUGAGAUUGAUAGAUGUUGAGCUCUAGGUUCAAUCGUUCAGGGCUAUUAGAGGGCCUCCGAUUGAUUUCUAUCUUUUACCUGAUUAUAUUAUGUUAAUGCAUUCAUACUAAACUGU
rnacentral:lncRNA from 1 species